rnacentral:rRNA from 1 species
UGACGUCAAGUCCUCAUGGCCCUUAUGGUAGGGCUUCACACGUCAUACAAUGGUCGGUACAGAGGGUUGCCAAGCCGCGAGGUGGAGCCAAUCCCUUAAAGCCGAUCGUAGUCCGGAUCGUAGUCUGCAACUCCGACUACGUGAAGUCGGAAUCGCUAGUAAUCGCAGAUCAGCAUGCUGCGGUGAAUACGUUCCCGGGUCUU